rnacentral:misc_RNA from 1 species
GAUGAAGAACGCAGCGAAAUGCGAUACGUAAUGUGAAUUGCAGAAUUCAGUGAAUCAUCGAAUCUUUGAACGCAUCUUGCGCUCCUUGGUAUUCCGAGGAGCAUGCCUGUUUGAGUGUCAUCAAGUUCUCAAACUGCAUCCAUUUGAAGGGUGUGGAUUUGGAUUAUGGAGUUUGCAGGCUCUUUGAUUGAGGUCUGCUCCUCUGAAAUGUAUUAGUGGCGAUGUGGAAAAGCUACUGUGGGUGUGAUAAAUAUCUAUGCCUUAUGCAGUGUUCUGCUAUGCCGCUUGCAGGGAGAAAUUUCAUUUUUGACAAACUUGACCUCAAAUCAGGUAGGACUACCCGCUGAACUUAAGCAUAUCAAUAAGCGGAAGA